AGCUUUGCGCAGUGACAAUAUUGUAGUUGAUGAGGUUUAACCGAGGCGCGAUUAUUGCUUAUUGAAAACUUUUCCCAAUACCCCGAGUUUGAUUCCAGCUUUACGUGACUAUCUGUGCAGAGUUUGCACAUUC